AACGAACGCUGGCGGCAUGCCUAACACAUGCAAGUCGAACGAACCCUUCGGGGUUAGUGGCGCACGGGUGCGUAACGCGUGGGAAUCUGCCCUUUGCUUCGGAAUAACUCAGGGAAACUUGUGCUAAUACCGGAUGAUGUCUUCGGACCAAAGAUUUAUCGGCAAGGGAUGAGCCCGCGUAGGAUUAGGUAGUUUGUGGGGUAAAGGCCUACCAAGCCGACGAUCCUUAGCUGGUCUGAGAGGAUGAUCAGCCACACUGGGACUGAGACACGGCCCAGACUCCUACGGGAGGCAGCAGUGGGGAAUAUUGGACAGUGGGCGCAAGCAUGAUCCAGCAAUGCCGCGUGAGUGAUGAAGGCCCGCGGGUCGUAAAGCUCUUUUACCAGGGAUGAUAAUGACAGUACCGGGAGAAUAAGCUCCGGCUAACUACGUG
rnacentral:rRNA from 1 species